rnacentral:lncRNA from 1 species
UCGCAUCUCGAGCAUGUCUCAUAGGAGAGUGGAAUGAAGUCCAUUGUAGUGACAGUAGCAGAUGUGCCAUUGUUCUAUUGUGUAAUUCUAUUUGUUUUUGCUAUAUUCCUGUGUAAGGAAAUGUAUUUAGGAGAUGACUAAUUGUGUUAUGUAAACCUGGGAGAUAUAUUAUGUGAUGUUAUAUGAUGGAUGAUUUUAAUUCGACUUGGAG